rnacentral:rRNA from 1 species
GACGAACGCUGGCGGCGUGCUUAACACAUGCAAGUCGCACGAAGUGGCGAACGGGUGAGUAUCGUGUAAUCAACCUGCCCUUCAGAGGGGGACAACAGUUGGAAACGACUGCUAAUACCGCAUACUGAAGGUUGGGUUUGCGUCUGAUUCGCUAGUUGGAGGGGUAACGGCCCACCAAGGCGAUGAUCAGUAGCCGGUCUGAGAGGAUGAACGGCCACAUUGGGACUGAGACACGGCCCAGACUCCUACGGGAGGCAGCAGUGGGGAAUCUGCCGCAAUGGACGAAAGUCUGACGGAGCAACGCCGCGUGAGUGAUGACGGCCUUCGGGUUGUAAAGCUCUGUUAAUCGGGACGCGGUACCGGAAUAGAAGGCCACGGCUAACUACGUGCCAGCAGCCGCGGUAAUAC